GAUGAAGAACGCAGUGAAAUGUGAUAAGUAAUGUGAAUUGCAGAAUUCAGUGAAUCAUCGAAUCUUUGAACGCACAUUGCGCCCGCUGGUAUUCCGGCGGGCAUGCCUGUUCGAGCGUCAUUUCAACCCUCAAGCUCUCCGGAGUUUGGUGUUGGGGCGCCUGGGGCUUUUCGACCUCAGGGCCCUCAAGUCCAUCGGCGGGACCGCCAGGACACUGAGCGCAGUAGUAUUAUUUCGCUCGGUAGGAUCUUCCACGGCGGGUCGAUCUGGCCGCUAAACCCCCCAAUUCUCACCAAAGGUUGACCUCGGAUCAGGUAGGAAUACCCGCUGAACUUAAGCAUAUCAAUAAGCGGAGGA
rnacentral:misc_RNA from 1 species